GUCGAUGUUAAUGGUAGAAUCCUCGAUAGAUCCACGAUGGGAGAGGACUACUUUUGGGCCAUUAGAGGGGGUGCUGGAGGUAGCUUUGGGAUUAUUCUUUGGUGGAAGUUGCAAUUGGUUCCUGUUCCAGAAACUGUGACAGUUUUCACUGUUCCAAAGACAUUAGAGCAAGGUGCCACUCAAAUCCUGUACAAAUGGCAACAAGUUGCUGACAAGCUGGAUGAAGAUUUGUUCAUUAGAGUCAUAAUACAAGUAACAAAUGAUAAAGCUACGAAAGAAAGAACCAUUACCACAGCUUACAAUGCUCUCUUUCUUGGAGAUUCCGACAGACUCCUACAAAUUAUGAGAAAAAGCUUCCCUGAAUUGGGUUUGACACCAAAAGAUUGUAUUGAAACCAACUGGAUUAAAUCAGUUCUUUACAUAGCUGGAGAACCACCAAAAACACCACCUGAAGUUCUUCUACAAGGAAAGCCACAAUUCAAGAACUACUUCAAAGCUAAAUCAGACUUUGUUCAAGUCCCAAUCCCAGAAACUGGAUUGGAAGGUCUAUGGAAAAUAUUUCUCCAAGAAGAAAGCCCAUUGAUGAUCUGGAAUCCU
rnacentral:lncRNA from 1 species